AAAAAGAGAGUGCAAAGAGAACGAGAACCGUUAUAGUGGAGCUGAUGGAGCCGACGUAUCCAGUGCGUAUUUAGUCUUUGUCGGAUGCAUUUGUUCGUUUGGAGGUCCGCAAAAGCCUCGAUGGAUAACUGUUGGUUUCCGGGAGAGGGGGACUUGCGUACAGAGUGCGCCGAAUCGGCUGGACUCGGCGUUCGAAGUCUGGCCAAGAGGGCCGACUCGCACGAAACGGAAACCUGGGCGUCGGACGGGCGACACAUGAGUCUGGCUGCGUUGCAUAAGGCUGGUCGAUCUGAAGUGGUCGUAGAGGUUGCUACGUUGUUGGGGUGCGGCGCACGCGUUUCGCCUCGAGACGUGUUUCUUUCCGCGGUCGUUUCUCGGCCGGUAUUCGGGAUCUAGUCGGUCACCCAUUUGACCCGUCUUGAAACACGGACCAAGGAGUUUAAGGUCUACGCAAGUCAUUGGGUGGAAAACUCAAAGGCGAAAUGAAAGUGGGACACUUGGUGUCUGUGAUGCGAUCCGUGUAUGAUUCGUUGUAUACAGAGCAGCAUCGACCCAUGACCAGAACUUGUUCUGUUGUGGCGUCUGAGCGUGGGCUUUGAGACCCGAAAGAUGGUGAACUAUGCCUGAACAGGACGAAGUCAGAGGAAACUCUGAUGGAAGUCCGAAGCGGUUCUGACGUGCAAAUCGAUCGUCUGACUUGGGUAUAGGGGCGCAAGACUAAUCGAACCAUC
rnacentral:rRNA from 1 species